UUUUCUUUUUUUAAUCAUUAGCCUUAUGCAGCUCUCAAAGCUAGAGAAUAUCUUGAUAAGCCUGCAAUACAUGAGACAAUGGUGAAGGUUAGCGCUUAUCUGCUUGGAGAAUACAGCCAUCUUUUGGCCAGACGACCUGGGUGUAGCCCAAAGGACAUUUUUGUCAUUAUACAUGAGAAGCUUCCUACUGUAUCGACUCCAACAAUAUCCAUUCUUCUCUCAACAUACGCAAAGAUUUUGAUGCACUCUCAACCACCAGAUCCCGAAUUACAAAACCAGAUCUGGGCAAUAUUUAGC